rnacentral:rRNA from 1 species
AUGGAUUGUGGGCUUGCGGAUCUGGGCUUCUUGGGACCCAAGUUUACAUGGUCGAACAAGCUGGAUCCCGACAGCCAUGUCAAGUGCCAUCUCGAUAGGGCAAUGGCGAAUGGCGCCUUCUCCGGAUUAUUUGAAGACUGCAGUGUGGAAAAUGUAAUCGCUACAACUUCGGAUCAUUACCCCAUCCUGAUUAGGCUGGACCGUCCUUCUCUACAGCGGCAGGCCUCUCCAGUUCAGCAUGGUUUCAGGUUUGAGGAGAUGUGGCUUCGUGUGGCUGAUUACAAGGAAACUCUAGAGAAUGCCUGGUUUGCUGGUAGAAAUGGCAACUUGUCGUUGCAAUCAACAUGGGAUACUCUGAAGCACGUUGCGGGCUCUCUUCGUUCUUGGAGCAAGGAGGCUUUUGGCUGUAUCCGCAAAAAUAUUGGGAGGUUGGAACGUCGGCUGGCCACCAUUAGGGCUGCGCCUCUCCUUCCUCUCUCUCUCUUCGAGGAACGUUCUAUUGAGGAACGGCUGUGUGAGCUGUUCGAAAGGGAGGAGAUCAUGGAGCGCCAACGCUCUAGGGUUGACUGGCUUAAGGCGGGUGAUAGGAACACUGAGUUCUUCCACGCUCGGGCGAUGGCAAGAAGGAGGACAAACAGAAUUCACUCACUGACCCGCGAAGAUGGUUCUGUGUGCAACACCCAAGGGGAGAUCAAGGGAAUGGUCCAGGUGUUUUAUGACAAGCUCUUCACAUUAGAACAGUGCCCUGCUGAGGACGAGGUUAUUCAGGCUAUCACUAACAAAGUCACUAACGAGAUGAAUGAGGAGCUGUGCAGGCCAUAUUCAAAUGAUGAAAUCCGUGCUGCUUUGUUCCAAAUGGGGCCCACUAAGGCCCCGGGCCCUGAUGGUUUUCCUGCUCUCUUUUACCAAACCCAUUGGAAUUUCCUUGGCGAGGAUAUUUGUCAGGCUAUUCGUGGCUUUUUGGAAGGGUGGCCCAUUCCUGAAGGCUUCUGUGAUUCGGUUAUUGUGCUGAUUCCGAAGACGACACGUCCGAAGCACCUGAAGAAUUUCCGUCCUAUUAGCCUGUGCAACGUGCUCUAUAAGAUCGCCUCCAAGGUUUUGGCAAAUCGUCUGAAAGGGAUCCUGCCCGUGGUGGUUUCAGAUUGUCAGAGUGCUUUCGUUCCUGGGAGAUUGAUUACUGACAACACCUUGAUUGCAUAUGAGUGCUUGCAUACCAUCCGACAACAGAGGGUGAAGAAGCCGUUCUUGUUGGGGAACGUAGCAGAAAUUCAAAAUUUUCCUACGUGUCACCAAGAUCUAUCUAUGGAGAAACCAGCAACGAGGGGAAGGAGAGUGCAUCUACAUACCCUUGUAGAUCGCUAA